rnacentral:rRNA from 1 species
AUUGAACGCUGGCGGCAGGCUUAACACAUGCAAGUCGAGCGGGGGAGGUUACUUCGGUAACUGACCUAGCGGCGGACGGGUGAGUAAUGCUUAGGAAUCUGCCUAUUAGUGGGGGACAACAUUCCGAAAGGAAUGCUAAUACCGCAUACGCCCUACGGGGGAAAGCAGGGGAUCUUCGGACCUUGCGCUAAUAGAUGAGCCUAAGUCGGAUUAGCUAGUUGGUGGGGUAAAGGCCUACCAAGGCGACGAUCUGUAGCGGGUCUGAGAGGAUGAUCCGCCACACUGGGACUGAGACACGGCCCAGACUCCUACGGGAGGCAGCAGUGGGGAAUAUUGGACAAUGGGCGGAAGCCUGAUCCAGCCAUGCCGCGUGUGUGAAGAAGGCCUUUUGGUUGUAAAGCACUUUAAGCGAGGAGGAGGCUCCUUUAGUUAAUACCUAAAGUGAGUGGACGUUACUCGCAGAAUAAGCACCGGCUAACUCUGUGCCAGCAGCCGCCGUAA